UUGCUUCAGUAGUACAUAUACUAAAACUAAAACAAUACAGAUAAGAUUAGCAUGUCCCCUGCUGCAAAGAUGAAUUGCAAAUUUGUGAAGCAUUCCAUAUUUUU
rfam:Tupaia chinensis contig48124, whole genome shotgun sequence.